UACAGAGGUCUCAAGCGUUGUUCGGAUUCAUUGGGCGUAAAGAGCGUGUAGGCGGCUAGGUAGGUCCGUUGUGAAAACUCGAGGCUCAACCUCGAGACGUCGAUGGAAACCAUCUAGCUAGAGUCCGGAAGAGGAGAGUGGAAUUCCUGGUGUAGCGGUGAAAUGCGCAGAUAUCAGGAAGAACACCCGUGGCGAAGGCGGCUCUCUGGUACGUGACUGACGCUGAGACGCGAAAGCGUGGGGAGCAAACAGG
rnacentral:rRNA from 1 species